UGCUUGCACUUCUUCCAUAGCAUGAAGUCAAAC
rnacentral:rRNA from 1 species